UAAACCUACGGGAGGCAGCAGUGGGGAAUAUUGGGCAAUGGGCGCAAGCCUGACCCAGCGACGCCGCGUGUAGGAAGACGGUCCUCUGGAUUGUAAACUACUGUCCCCAGGGACGAAGAUGACGGUACCUGGGGAGGAAGCUCCGGCUAACUACGUGCCAGCAGCCGCGGUAAUACGUAGGGAGCGAGCGUUGUCCGGAAUUACUGGGUGUAAAGGGAGCGUAGGCGGGGAUGCAAGUUGGGUGUUAAAUCUACCGGCUCAACUGGUAGUCGCACUCAAAACUGCAGCUCUUGAGUGAGGUAGAG
rnacentral:rRNA from 1 species